rnacentral:lncRNA from 1 species
GCUAGAAGACUUACCAAAAGUCACACAAAUGACAGGGGGAAAUGGAAGGAGAAAAGAAAAACAAUGCUAAAAAGCCUAGAGAUGACCACAUAUGAAACGACCAUGUGUGUAAAGGAUUGCUGGAAAAUAAAUCAGCUCUCCCUGCAGCUCCUUGGGAUCAUACCCCAGAAUAAAGUACAACCUUUUCCGCUCCUUACCAAACAGUACCACCUUCUCCUUUGCCCUACUUCAACUCUGGAGAGAGCAGAAACCACAGCAAGAAAGCUGACAGGGAGGAAGAGAAGCAAGGAAAGGCACCCAAGCCAGUCACCACAUAUUAUACAAAGCAGGCUUGGAGAAAGAUGGCCUGGAUUCUGCCAUGUAAAUCAAAGAAGAGAGGGCCUAACUCAGCUGCCUAGCCUGGAUCACCUGGAACCCAUUAGGAUACAGGAUCAUAAACACCUCUAUUUUCCCUUCAGAGAGAGACCAGAACCACUGGAGUUAAGCUACCUGCAUAAGAGUUGAGUGCGAUCAGCUGUACUUAAUCUUUAAAUGUCCAACCCACUGAUAACCUUUGGUUUGCUUUGAUAACUAUGAAAUAA